rnacentral:rRNA from 1 species
AUUGAACGCUGGCGGCAGGCCUAACACAUGCAAGUCGAACGGUAACAGGAAACAGCUUGCUGUUUCGCUGACGAGUGGCGGACGGGUGAGUAAUGUCUGGGAAACUGCCUGAUGGAGGGGGAUAACUACUGGAAACGGUAGCUAAUACCGCAUAACGUCGCAAGCCCAAAGAGGGGGACCUUCGGGCCUCUUGCCAUCGGAUGUGCCCAGAUGGGAUUAGCUAGUAGGUGGGGUAACGGCUCACCUAGGCGACGAUCCCUAGCUGGUCUGAGAGGAUGACCGGCCACACUGGAACUGAGACACGGUCCAGACUCCUACGGGAGGCAGCAGUGGGGAAUAUUGCACAAUGGGCGCAAGCCUGAUGCAGCCAUGCCGCGUGUAUGAAGAAGGCCUUCGGGUUGUAAAGUACUUUCAGCGGGGAGGAAGGGAGUAAAGUUAAUACCUGUGCUCAUUGACGUUACCCGCAGAAGAAGCACCGGCUAACUCCGUG